rnacentral:rRNA from 1 species
UGGUGGAGUGAUUUGUCUGGUUAAUUCCGAUAACGAACGAGACCUCAGCCUACUAAAUAGUUACACGAAUCCUUGUGAUCCGUGGUUAACCUCUUAGAGGGACUUUUGGUAUCUAGCCAAAGGAAGUUUGAGGCAAUAGCA